CUGGCUCAGGAUGAACGCUAGCGGCAGGCUUAAUACAUGCAAGUCGUGGGGCAGCAUGAGUGUAGCAAUACAUUUGAUGGCGACCGGCAAACGGGUGCGGAACACGUACUGAACCUUCCUUUAAGUGGGGAAUAGCCCAGAGAAAUUUGGAUUAAUACCCCGUAAUAUAUAGAAGUGGCAUCACUUUUAUAUUAAAGCUCCGGCGCUUAAAGAUGGCAGUGCGGCUGAUUAGGUAGUUGGCGGGGUAACGGCCCACCAAGCCGACGAUCAGUAACUGGUGUGAGAGCACGACCAGUCACACGGGCACUGAGACACGGGCCCGACUCCUACGGGAGGCAGCAGUAAGGAAUAUUGGUCAAUGGACGCAAGUCUGAACCAGCCAUGCCGCGUGGAGGAUGAAGGUCCUCUGGAUUGUAAACUUCUUUUAUCUGGGAAGAAACCCAUCUUUUCUUGGAUGGUUGACGGUACCAGAUGAAUAAGCACCGGCUAACUCCGUGCCAGCAGCCGCGGUAAUACGGAGGGUGCAAGCGUUAUCCGGAUUCACUGGGUUUAAAGGGUGCGUAGGUGGGCAGGUAAGUCAGCGGUGAAAUCUCCGGGCUUAACCCGGAAACUGCCAUUGAUACUAUCUGUCUUGAAUACCCUGGAGGUGAGCGGAAUAUGUCAUGUAGCGGUGAAAUGCUUAGAUAUGACAUAGAACACCCAUUGCGAAGGCAGCUCACUACGGGAAUAUUGACACUGAGGCACGAAAGCGUGGGGAUCAAACAGGAUUAGAUACCCUGGUAGUCCACGCCCUAAACGAUGGAUACUCGACAUCAGCGAUAAACUGUUGGUGUCUGAGCGAAAGCAUUAAGUAUCCCACCUGGGAAGUACGAUCGCAAGAUUGAAACUCAAAG
rnacentral:rRNA from 1 species